UAACACGUAGGGGGCGAGCGUUGCUCGGAUUUACUGGGCGUAAAGGGCGUCUAGGCGGGAGGGAAAGUCCUGUGUGAAAUCCCUCGGCUCAACCGAGGAAGUGCACAGGAAACUUCCUUUCUUGAGGACUGGGGAAGAGAGUGGAAUUCCUCGUGUAGCGGUGAAAUGCGUAGAUAUGAGGAAGAACACCAGUGGCGAAGGCGACUCUCUACCCUUUCCCUGACGCUGAAGCGCGAAAGCCAGGGGAGCAAACAGGAUUAGAUACCCUGGUAGUCCUGGCCCUAAACGAUGUAGACUUGGUGUAUCGGGUGUUGACUCCUGGUGUGCCGUAGCCAACGCGUUAAGUCUACCGCCUGGGGAGUACGAUCGCAAGGUUG
rnacentral:rRNA from 1 species